CCUUUGGAGUGUUAUACAAACCAGAGUAGCUUGUGCAAAAUGGGACACUAUGAGAAAGGAA
ncrna:unclassified sequences RAGATH-18 RNA